rnacentral:rRNA from 1 species
CCUACGGGAUGCAGCAGUGAGGAAUAUUGGUCAAUGGACGCAAGUCUGAACCAGCCAUGCCGCGUGCAGGAAGACGGCUCUAUGAGUUGUAAACUGCUUUUGUACGAGGGUAAAUCCCGAUACGUGUAUUGGGUUGAAAGUAUCGUACGAAUAAGGAUCGGCUAACUCCGUGCCAGCAGCCGCGGUAAUACGGAGGAUUCAAGCGUUAUCCGGAUUUAUUGGGUUUAAAGGGUGCGUAGGCGGUUCGAUAAGUUAGAGGUGAAAUCCCGAGGCUCAACUUCGGAAUUGCCUCUGAUACUGUUCGGCUAGAGAGUAGUUGCGGUAGGCGGAAUGUAUGGUGGAGCGGUGAAAUGCUUAGAGAUCAUACAGAACACCGAUUGCGAAGGCAGCUUACCAAGCUACGUCUGACGUUGAGGCACGAAAGCGUGGGGAGCAAACAGGAUUAGAUACCCCUGUAGUC